AGUCAAAACAUCGUUAUCUUUUUUUUUCUGCAGCCAUCCUUAACCUGUUUCUUGGUGCCGGACAAAAAUAUGGUCAGGCCUUUGGUUCUUAAUUAGGAGAGUAACUAGUUAUGCAACCUGAACCUUUGACUUUCUUAGGAGGGUUCAGGCUAGAUGUCAGACCUGAGUUGCACCACCAGCCACCAGAAUUGAAAGGGACCACGAGGCUCAUCUAGUCCAACCCCCCAGCAAUGCAGGAAUCUUUCACCCAAUGUGGGGUUCUAACCCAGAACCCCCCUGUGAACCUGUUGAGGAAAAUCGUUAUUCGGCAUAAGCUGGGCAGUCAUGUUUUUUAAGGUGCAUCUUCGGCUCUGCACAAGGUCUAAGGCACAGUGGACCGCCCCCCUGCUGAAAAAGUUUGCUGACCCCUGGUGUACAUACUUCUGUAUCAAGAAACAAUUUUCUGCAGGACUGGGUAAGGGUGCCUGCACCUAUUGAAUUGAGCUCAUUUAUGGUUGAAACAAUUCAACCCCCAUAUCCAAAUAGUUUGGUUUAAAGAUUAUUUUCUCAACCAGAAUUUUAAUAAUCCAGCAUUUCCCUACUAUAGCACAUAAAUAAAAGUCAUUGUUAAUGCAAUGGACGCCUUUUGUAGCAAACAUUUGGUUUAUUAAAUGGAGUGAGCAGCAAUAGAGCUCUUAUACAUUGGUGAAAACUGACCAUGGGCUCAUCCAUAGUAGGAUUCCAAGUCUACUGCUCUGUUAGCACAAUGAAUUGGAACACCACUGCUAAUGACAUCACUUUAGCCAAUGCAUUGUGUAAGCACAACUCUGAAGCAGACCAUGAGUAUUGCUUACUCAUUAACGAUGUGUAGAAGAAGUGUGAGGUUUGUUGUCUUCACAUCAGAUUCACAGCUCAAUCACUCAGUUCAAAUGUCAUAUUGAACACAAUCAUAAUUUAGUGCAGUGAAAAUCAGAUACACUUUUUUUUUGCAUGCAUGUUCAAAAAUACCAAUUAAUAUCUAUGUUUUUAUCCAACAGAAAUAAAAGUUCUUUCAUAAGGGCAAAAGAGGGGGGGGGAUAGGCUAAAGGCAACUUAGUUCACACCUGAGUGUGUGCUUUUUAACUGAAUUGCUUUUAAGGCAGCUACCUGAACUAUUUCCUUGACUAAGCACUGACAUAACUUAGGGCCAGGUUCACACUCAUUUAACUGUGUACUUAUAGUUUCCAGUGCUGGGCUUCUAAUGUGUUCACAUGUUACCCAAAAUAUGUAUCCUGUACUUCUUUAUAAAAUGCUUAUUAAAAACUACUGUUCGAUGCAUCGUCUCUGAAAUCAGCUUCACACCCAUCGGUGUACUUCAGCCGUUGCUAAUUCAUUUCUUGCCAAAGUGUGAACACCAUUGCACAGAGUAAAAUACCUGAGAGAAGGAGGAUUAGUUCAUUGCCUCUGACCCAGCGGCCUGUGACACUACACAUCUAGUUCUGGCUAUUGAAUCCAAUUGCUUUUUCUACCCAUUUGAAUGUGAUUGAAUCACUAACUUGCAUUUUAUAUGGGGAAAAUGUAUACAGUGGUACCUCGGGUUACAUACGCUUCAGGUUACAUACGCUUCAGGUUACAGACUCCGCUAACCCAGAAAUAGUGCUUCAGGUUAAGAACUUUGCUUCAGGAUGAGAAUUGAAAUCAUGUUCCGGUGGCGCAGUGGCAGCGGGAGGCCCCAUUAGCUAAAGUGGUGCUUCAGGUUAAGAACAGUUUCAGAUUAAGUACGGACUUCCGGAACGAAUUAAGUACUUAACCUGAGGUACCACUGUAGUUAGUUGUAGGGAGGGUAGGUGUUUCCUUCAGCUUCUGAAGCAGUAAUUAUUCCUAAUAAUGUGCAAUUACACUUUCAGUUAGGAUCUCCUUUAGUUUUGUUUUUUGGGGUUUUGUUGUGUUUUUUGGUUGUUGUUUUUUUUGCUUAGUGCAAGGAAAGCAAGACCUAAAAAUCCAGUACUUUGCUCUUCAGUAAUUUUUUU